rnacentral:rRNA from 1 species
UACGGAGGGUGCAAGCGUUGUCCGGAAUCACUGGGCGUAAAGGGCGCGUAGGCGGCUCAUGAAGGCUGUGGUGAAAGUCCGGGGCUCAACCUCGGAUCGGCCGUGGCGACUCGUGGGCUGGAGCACUGUAGAGGCGGGUGGAAUUCCGGGUGUAGCGGUGGAAUGCGUAGAGAUCCGGAAGAACACCAGUGGCGAAGGCGGCCCGCUGGGCAGUGGCUGACGCUGAGGCGCGAAAGCGUGGGGAGCAAACAGG